rnacentral:lncRNA from 1 species
AAACUCAAAAUAAGAUUCUAAAAUCACCCUCAAAACUAAAUCCAUUGGGACCCACUUACUUUUUUAAUUAAAUUUUCAAAUCUCCCUCGUUUAGAUUCUCUGCCAAAAAAACAGCCAUAAAUUUUAAAAAAAGAAGCCCAAAAAAAAUAAAAAGAAACUCUUCCCUCCAUUGGUUAAAAAAUUAAACACCCACCUAAAUAUUCACAAAUUGAAAACAAAUUUCAAAUCCUUCCCUCCAAAACUUUGGUCUACCUUCAAAAAUCCCAUAUCUAUAAAUCACCUCUUGAAACAACUUGUGUACUAGCAAUUUGCAAUAGUCUGAUAUAUCUCUCCUUAGACUCCAUUUUGUGGGUUUACACUGAAUAAAUAAUGGAGGUGUUGGCUAUUACUGAGUUGCUCCAUGAAUGUAAAAUGGAGAAUAUCCCACCUAGCUCAGUAGAAAAAGUCAUGAACCCAAAUUGUUUAGAGGUGAAAUGCUGCACAAGAAAUAUGAAGAGAAAAUUCAGGAGGCCUUUGAGAGAUAUAACCAACUUUUUCAAUUCAUCAGUCGAGCUUAGUGCUCCUUCAGUUGCAUUUACGAGAUUUCAGAGAUUUGAUUCUCUUUCUUAUCAAGGGAUUGUGAAUCGAAAGCGAAAAUCAGCUGAUGAGAAUGUUGAUUCAGUGCAGAAGCAUUGUUCGAAGAUGCUUAGGAGAGAUUUCAGAUAGUUCAAUAUUUAGACAAGUAAAAUAGAUACAAUAGAAGUAGAAUAUAGUAACUUUUUGUUGGGGCAGAAGAUGGUAUUUGGGGAUCUUAGAAGAAAGUUCCCUCUCCUCUCUCUCAAUUUAUGUUCUGAAAUGAACAAAUUGUUUAAGAUUUGCCCGGAAUUUCUUAGUUUUCUUGAUUUUUUUUAUCAUAAUUAAAAUUAUCUUUCUUGAUGGAAAAGAUUCUUUUGCUGUUAGGUUUAUUUUCUUUGAGAGGUAAAAGAUUUUUUGCUAUUAGGUUUAUUUUCUUUGAGAGGUAUGAUUUUGUAGUUUUGUAAAUAGAAGAUCUCUCUUUAGUGAUCGAGUCAAAAUUUUUAUUAAAGGGGUUCAUAAAUAACAUACGAACAAAUUGAAGGGAGAUUCAACAUUUAUAAUAUACACAUAAAAAAUAAUUUUAAUCAUGUAUAAAUAGUACUAAUUUUUCACCAAAAGGGAUUCGAAUGAACCCUCGCCAAAGGGUAGCUUUGCCCCUAUCUCUUCUUAAGUAUUGUUUAGAAAGAGAUUUCUUUCAAUAGAUUUAUAUUUUCAAUAUUAAUUUUUUAGAUUGUUUGACCGAACGAGAUUAAUAUUAAUAUAUUUUUCUUUUUGUUUGAACUAUUAUCUUCAUGAUUUGUAAAUAUAAAUUUUUGUAUGAUGCCUUAUUAAUUUCGAAACCAACACAAAUUGC